GCCGUAUGUAAUGGCUAGAUGCCCCUGCCUCUACAAAGGAAACACCUGAUUCAGAAAAGUAAACACCAUAACAGCAACCAGCUGCCCAGAACCAUCAUCAACCAUAUGCAGCAGCUCCGUGCCCACAGAAGCACAGGAUGCAGCUGGGAAAAAGCCUUUCAUGCCACAGUAGCUGCCUCGCAGCUCUGAAUCAACAGCGACCCGUGAUGAAGGGACAGAAGGAUUCCAACAUUCCUGGAGACCCAAGGCAGGGACACCUCCUGAGAGAACCAGGAACCCCAACUUUACUCUGGGUGAUGCUGCGACAAGGUCCAAGCAUCACUCGGGAGCUUAUUAGAAACGCAGGAUCUUGGCCCCACCACUGACAGAGGGAAUUCCACUCAGUGCAGACCUAAAGAAGCUAUUAAACAUGCAGGAGUUCUGGCCCCACCC